GGUGCGUUAGAGAAGUGGUUUACCUCACUCCGUUUGGGUUUAAAAAUCGGAGAGAUCACGGGUUCGAAUCCCGUACGUGCCC